ensembl:snRNA U6 U6 spliceosomal RNA
GCACUCGCUUUGGUAGCGCAUAUACUAAAAUUGGAACAAUACAGAGAAGAUUAGCAUGACCUCUGCGUAAGGAUGACACAUAAAUUUGUUAAGCAUUCUAUAUUUUU